GUUCGUCAUCAGGUUAUUCAUCAGGUUAUGACUUCUCUGUCUACUUGCUUUUCUCUUUCUUUUUAUUCUUUCGCAACUAACCAUUGGUAAGAGUUCAAUGUUAACAUGAGACCCAUAGCCUUUGCUAUGGAAAAAGCGGGAAUCAAAACCUAAUGGUGAAAGUCAUGCUUUUUUGAAGUAUAACCUUUCUGUUUACCUGUUUUCUCUCUGCUUUUGAACGGUUCCUCUCUGCUCUUUGACCCUCUUGAUGUAUGUAAACAAUAUCUGAGUUUACCAUUUUUCUUGUGUUUCGAGUUAAUGCUUUUGUUUUUAUCCCACGAGUUGAGUUUUUUAUGCUUUUUAAUCAAAAAGGAAUGUAAACAAUCAAAUUCUGGUCAAAGUGACGAUGGUGACAACAGUAAAAACAUCAGCGUUACUGUUAUUUGUGUCUAAACUUGAAGCUCUACUUGGAGUUCUACUUGGAGUUCUACUUGAAAGAGAAGCCUACUCAACUGGUGUUAAUAACCAAGGAAAUUUAAUUGUUAAUUGUAACAAUUAGAAGAAUCAAGAGUUACCAGAAAGCAACGUGAUUGUUGAACAAAAUGAAAAAGACAAAUAUAAAGACUAUAAAAGGUGCUUUUAAUAAUGAUCAUCUUUAUCAACUAUUUGCACGUAUUAUUAAAAAUGGGUAAUCGCUAUGCUCUGAAUAUUCAUCAAUUGUUGCAAUCAAUCUCUUCUGACAAAAACAUAUGAUAAUCGUGAUGAAGACUAUGACAGACUACAACUGGCAACCAUCAUCAUCCACUACAUCAAUAUCACCAUUUAAAUCAUCAUCAACCGUCAUGCAGAGAAAAGUUAACCCGUUCUCGAUCUAAUAAUUUACCAUCCUUGUCCUUUAGAUGCUCUUCUGUAAUGCAUUUAAUCUCAUCCUGAUCUUUGUUUUCAUUGAUUUCUGAAUCAAACCUGGUGACAAUGAUAAUCUUGAAACAGUUAACCAACACAAUCAUGGUCUUGCAGUUACUGAUCUCAGAAAUUCAUCAACACUUAUCCUUAAACUAUUGGUGUUUGAAAAGCCGGAAGAAUCAACAAGUAACAACAAUUACCAGCUUUUAAUGCGAAAACAUUCAUUUAUUGAAGUCCCUUACCAUCAAACAAAUGGUGGAUACCCAAUUCGUUGACAAAUAUACAGUUUAAUGUAAAUGUUGACAAUAAAAGACUUGAUACUUCAACAAAAGUCAAAUUAAAGUGGUUUUGCUGGCGUUUUACCUGGUUGGACAGUAACAAUUAACGUUGAAACAAAUGAUAAAAUUUAUAAAAUUAUAUCAUUCGACUGUUGAUCAUUUACAUGUUGAUUUACUUGUUUAAAUGUUCAACAGUGAAUUUGAUUGAUUUGUGCGGCUUGCUCGAGUAACUGAACCGUCUUUGACAGACAAACUCAAUUACAUAAUUUAAAUAGCAAGCCAAAUUAAACUUAACCUUUCCUUGUGUUUGUAAACAAUCAAGAAAUACUAAAAGUCGAUUGGAUUGUUUGGCAACUUAAUGGAUUUAAAUAAUUGACUUAUCAAGUUAACCAGAAAACCAGAAUUUGUAUGUACUCAGAAAUUAAAUUAAACUGGUUAACAUCCUUGGGUAACACCCAAAAAAAAUAGUGUAUCCCAUUCAAUUGUGGGCUGUUUAAUCAUGAUGGUGGUAGUGAACCUAGAAGUGUUUAAGAUAAUUAACUACAGGGUAACCUUGAAUUAAACUCGGGGAGUUUCAGUAAGCAACUGUGGAUUUAAGUUUCAAUCGUUAAUCAUUGUAUAUUUACUUGAAUCCAUAGUCUGUCCAGAUUAUCUGAUUCAUCUAGUAACAUGUUUACCUUGGCUCCUUUUAUCUGUUUUUUCAUUUUGUAAAUGCUGAUAAUUAUCCUACUUUUUCCGAAUAGUGCGAGUAAAAUUACCAGACUAAACCUCAUGAAACUCUUAAAAUCAUGAAAA